rnacentral:rRNA from 1 species
UACGGAGGGUGCAAGCGUUGUUCGGACUUACUGGGCGUAAAGCGCGUGUAGGCGGGUUGGCAAGUCGGGUGUGAAAUCCCGGGGCUCAACCCCGGAACUGCAUUCGAAACUGCCUGGCUGGAGUCCCGGAGAGGGUGGUGGAAUUCCCAGUGUAGAGGUGAAAUUCGUAGAUAUUGGGAGGAACACCAGUGGCGAAGGCGGCCACCUGGACGGUGACUGACGCUGAGUCGCGAAAGCGUGGGGAGCAAACAGG